rnacentral:rRNA from 1 species
GAUGAACGCUGGCGGCGUGCCUAAUACAUGCAAGUCGAGCGAACGGACGAGAAGCUUGCUUCUCUGAUGUUAGCGGCGGACGGGUGAGUAACACGUGGAUAACCUACCUAUAAGACUGGGAUAACUUCGGGAAACCGGAUCUAAUACCGGAUAAUAUUUUGAACCGCAUGGUUCAAAAGUGAAAGACGGUUUUGCUGUCACUUAUAGAUGGAUCCGCGCUGCAUUAGCUAGUUGGUAAGGUAACGGCUUACCAAGGCAACGAUGCAUAGCCGACCUGAGAGGGUGAUCGGCCACACUGGAACUGAGACACGGUCCAGACUCCUACGGGAGGCAGCAGUAGGGAAUCUUCCGCAAUGGGCGAAAGCCUGACGGAGCAACGCCGCGUGAGUGAUGAAGGUCUUCGGAUCGUAAAACUCUGUUAUUAGGGAAGAACAUAUGUGUAAGUAACUGUGCACAUCUUGACGGUACCUAAUCAGAAAGCCACGGCUAACUACGUG